CCCGGAGGAAGGCGCUCUGGAAGCGGCGGAAGGCUGGGUUGGCUGCAGCCGUCUGAGUCGGUUGAGGUGGGCUGAGACGACGCGCUGUGAGCUCAAGGCCAACACACAAGGCGAGCAGGACAAUUAUGGCAAGCUGUGCUCGCUGAACAAGUGGCUUGCUCAAGGGUCAAU